GACGAACCGUCCAAACGUUAUUCGGAAUCACUGGGCUUACAGAGUUCGUAGGCGGUCUGGAAAGUUGGGUGUGAAAUCCCUCGGCUCAACCGAGGAACUGCGCUCAAAAACUACCCGACUCGAGGGAGAUAGAGGAAAGCGGAACUGAUGGUGGAGCGGUGAAAUGCGUUGAUAUCAUCAGGAACACCGGUGGCGAAGGCGGCUUUCUGGGUCUUACCUGACGCUGAGGAACGAAAGCUAGGGGAGCGAACGGG
rnacentral:rRNA from 1 species